CCGAUGGCGACCGGCGCACGGGUGAGUAACACGUAUCCAACCUGCCGAUGACUCGGGGAUAGCCUUUCGAAAGAAAGAUUAAUACCCGAUGGCAUAGUUCUUCCGCAUGGUAGAACUAUUAAAGAAUUUCGGUCAUCGAUGGGGAUGCGUUCCAUUAGGUUGUUGGCGGGGUAACGGCCCACCAAGCCUUCGAUGGACAGGGGUUCUGAGAGGAAGGUCCCCCACAUUGGAACUGAGACACGGUCCAA
rnacentral:rRNA from 1 species